rnacentral:rRNA from 1 species
AGGCGCGAAAACUUUACAAUGCCGGCAACGGCGAUAAGGGGACCUCGAGUGCCAGGUUACAAAUCUGGCUGUCGUGAUGCCUAAAAAGCAUUGCAUAGCAAGGGCCGGGCAAGACCGGUGCCAGCCGCCGCGGUAACACCGGCGGCUCGAGUGGUAACCGUUAUUAUUGGGUCUAAAGGGUCUGUAGCCGGCCGGAUAAGUCUCUUGGGAAAUCCAGCAGCUCAACUGUUGGGCUUUCAGGAGAUACUGUUCGGCUCGAGGCCGGGAGAGGUGAGAGGUACUUCAGGGGUAGGGGUGAAAUCUUGUAAUCCUUGAAGGACCACCAGUGGCGAAGGCGUCUCACCAGAACGGACCUGACGGCAAGGGACGAAAGCUAGGGGCACGAACCGGAUUAGAUACCCGGGUAGUCCUAGCCGUAAACGAUACUCGCUAGGUGUCGGCCACGGUGCGACCGUUGUCGGUGCCGUAGGGAAGCCGUGAAGCGAGCCACCUGGGAAGUACGGCCGCAAGGCUGAAACUUAAAGGAAUUGGCGGGGGAGCACCACAACGGGUGGAGCUUGCGGUUUAAUUGGAUUCAACGCCGGAAAUCUUACCGGGACCGACAGCGAUAUGAAGGCCAGGCUGAAGACUUUGCCGGAUUAGCUGAGAGGUGGUGCAUGGCCGUCGUCAGUUCGUACUGUGAAGCAU